GAUGAACGCUGGCGGCGUGCCUAAUACAUGCAAGUCGAGCGAACAGACGAGGAGCUUGCUCCUCUGACGUUAGCGGCGGACGGGUGAGUAACACGUGGAUAACCUACCUAUAAGACUGGGAUAACUUCGGGAAACCGGAGCUAAUACCGGAUAAUAUAUUGAACCGCAUGGUUCAAUAGUGAAAGACGGUUUUGCUGUCACUUAUAGAUGGAUCCGCGCCGCAUUAGCUAGUUGGUAAGGUAACGGCUUACCAAGGCAACGAUGCGUAGCCGACCUGAGAGGGUGAUCGGCCACACUGGAACUGAGACACGGUCUAGACUCCUACGGGAGGCAGCAGUAGGGAAUCUUCCGCAAUGGGCGAAAGCUUGACGGAGCAACGCCGCGUGAGUGAUGAAGGUCUUCGGAUCGUAAAACUCUGUUAUUAGGGAAGAACAAAUGUGUAAGUAACUAUGCACGUCUUGACGGUACCUAAUCAGAAAGCCACGGCUAACUACGUG
rnacentral:rRNA from 1 species